UCCACUGUUGCGUUUUUCGUACGUACGUAUACGCACGUAAAACUUUAAAUCCGUCACUAAAUGUUACUUAUGAAAUAACCAAAUAAAUAAAGCAACAUAAUUUAGUGUUCCGCAAGUUUUAGUAUGCAUUUGUUAACUUAUUUAUAAAAUAUUUAAAAAAUAGAAGGAUUCAAAGUUUUACGUGCGUGUACGUCCGUACGAAAAACGCAACAGUGGA